rnacentral:rRNA from 1 species
GGGCCCGCACAAGCGGUGGAGUAUGUGGUUUAAUUCGAUGCAACGCGAAGAACCUUACCAGGGUUUGACAUCCUGCGAAUCUCUUGGAAACGAGAGAGUGCCUUCGGGAACGCAGUGACAGGUGGUGCAUGGCUGUCGUCAGCUCGUGUCGUGAGAUGUUGGGUUAAGUCCCGCAACGAGCGCAACCCUUAUCCUUAAUUGCCAGCGGUUAGGCCGGGAACUCUAAGGAGACUGCCGAUGACAAAUCGGAGGAAGGUGGGGACGACGUCAAGUCAUCAUGGCCCUUACGUGUAGGGCUACACACGUGCUACAAUGCUACGGACAAAGGGCAGCAAACUCGCGAGAGCUAGCAAAUCCCAUAAACCGUGGCUCAGUUCAGAUCGUAGGCUGCAACUCGCCUACGUGAAGGAGGAAUCGCUAG